GACGAACGCUGGCGGCGUGCUUAACACAUGCAAGUCGAACGGUGAAGCGCUUGCCUUUUUGGUGGGUGUGGAUGAGUGGCGAACGGGUGAGUAACACGUGAGUAACCUGCCCUCUUCUUCUGGAUAACCUCAUGAAAGUGGGGCUAAUACGGGGUAUUCCGGGUCUGUCGCAUGGCGGGUUUGGGAAAGAUUGCGCCUUUGGGUGUUUUCGGUGGGGGAUGGGCUCGCGGCCUAUCAGCUUGUUGGUGGGGUGAUGGCCUACCAAGGCGGUGACGGGUAGCCGGCCUGGGAGGGUGGACGGCCACACGGGGACUGAGACACGGCCCAGACUCCUGCGGGAGGCAGCAGUGGGGAAUAUUGCACAAUGGGCGCAAGCCUGAUGCAGCGACGCCGCGUGGGGGAUGGAGGCCUGCGGGUUGUGAACCUCUUUCGCCAGUGAAGCAGGCCUGCCUCGUUUGUGGGUGGGUUGACGGUAGCUGGAUAAGAAGCGCCGGCUAACUACGUG
rnacentral:rRNA from 1 species